UCUCCGCAUUCAGCUAAAUGACAUUUUUGCCAUAUUAAUAUUGAUGGAACUGUGGUGAAAUGACGCCAUUGUUUUGGGUGUCGGUUUUUCCUUACUUUAUUUGAAAUAUAAAGAAAACCUGCGACCAGUUAGCCUCUGCAGUGAGUCAAGUCCAGAUGAUAAACGGAUCUCAAAUCACAAUAAUAAUAAUAAAAAAAAAGAGCUUGUUCACUGCUACACUUCUGCACCUUUUUAAAGUAAAUGAUGGGCUGAUGGAUAAUUGUAGACUAUGUGUAGAGACUCAUCUUGGUUAAGGUCAUGUGUUUUUGUUUCUGGUCUUCCUCUUUUAUACUUAACCUUUCCUCUCAUUUCAGGUAUCUUGACUUCCUGCUCUCAUGUUCUCCUGUGUGCUGAUUGGCAGCAGCCCCGCCCUGGUUGUAUUCACCUGUGUCCUUGUCUCACCCUUCCCUUGUGUAUUUAAGCCCUGCGCUUAGUGUUUGUCUUUGCCAGUUCGUCUCGUUCGUCGCGUUGAGCGUCCCAGCCGUGUUUUCGUGUGAGUCUUCAAGUCAAGCCAGCAGUUUUUAGUUUCUGGUCUAGUUUUUGUUUUUGGCCUGUUUUUGCAUUAAACGCAGUAAAAGAGACGGAGACGAUCUGGUAUCCCUGCUCAGUUUAUCCAAUCAGGACGGAGGACUCCAUACAGAGACAUGAUGAAAGUCAUUCUCCUGACUGCCAUCAUCUUAGCUGUAGCCCUCGAUCUCGGGGGCCAAGGGGAGUCUUCUUAUACCCUCAGAUUGUAUAAUUAUAUCACCGGAUUCCACGCUUCAUUGCCCUGUCAGGACAAUAGCAGCAACAAUGCGUACGCCACAUUUGUCCACAGACACAUCCUGAACGACAAUAACUUGGACAGAAAUUCCAAAGCUUCAUGGGAAAAGUACCUAGCGAAGAAGGGACUCUGUGACAGAGUUCCACUUCAGUCCUUCAUCGACACCUCAGAGGAUGACGUUAAGAAGAUCUGCCGUAACGGUGGAAAGCGUGUGGAGAGUGGAGGAAACCUGUGCAUCAGCGCCUCAGGCAUGACUGUAUAUGAUGUUAGAUCUAAAAAUGCGAAUGGAAAAUGCACGGUUACAAGUCUAACUCAUGGCCAGCAGAGAGUGGUUGUAGCGUGUAAUAAAGUUGGAAACGUGUGCCUCCCUGUCCAUUAUGAGGCAUACAGGAGUCAACAACCGACAAAGCAAAACUGCAGUUGAGCCACAUUGUUGUGAGUUAGUUCACUCUGUUCCCAGCUGACAUGUACAGUUUAAGUCAAGCUCAGCUAAAUGGUUAAAUGAUUUCUGCUUAGAAGAAUAUAAAGAAUAUUGAUGUUGCUCUUCAGCCACACAUUCUGCCAGCUACAUCUUAAAGCCGUCUUUCACGUCAUUCUGUGAGAUGUUUUGUGCUACACAUGACAUGAAAAGACAACUGCAGUUUCCUCACACAAUUUCAGCUUGUCCUGUAUUUCACAUGAUCUACUGCGGUGAGGUUUCUGCAAUUACAAUUGACAGCAUGCUGUUUCUGUUUAUUACACGUGUAAUGGCAAAAUGUCUCCCAUCAAUAAACGUAUUUUGUGUUGCACAUGUGACUAGUAUGACAUCAGUAUAGUGUCUCUGUUUAGCUGUUGUUUUUUUCCCUUUCUUGACAAAAUAAAACAGUGUUUGACACCA